rnacentral:misc_RNA from 1 species
AACAUCGCGCACCUGCGGGAACCUGCGGAGGGAUCAUUAUAGGAAAAAAAACUUAUAUAAAGUUGCAGCAGGGCAAAAAAAGAAAGAGGGGGGGGGAGAAAAAGGAUACCUUUUUUCUCUCUCUCUCCCUGCUGCUUCUUUCAAACAAAUUAUCACGACCAAAUGAUUUGAUACUGUGUGUGUGUUGAUUUGGUGGCUUGGAUUGGAUUGGAAAAAAAAGUGCUUGCCUGAUAUAAUAUU